GACGAACGCUGGCGGCGUGCUUAACACAUGCAAGUAGAACGCAGUUGCGAAAGGGUGAGUAACGCGUAGGUAACUGCCUCAUAGCGGGGGUUAACUAGUGGAAACGAUAGCUAAUACCGCAUACUUUGAGAUGGACCUUCGUUGUAUUAGGUAGUUGGUGGGGGAAAGGCUCACCAAGGCGACGAAACAUAGCCGACCUGAGAGGGUGAUCGGCGUACCUGGGACGGGAACACGGCCCAGAGUACUACGGAGGGCAGACGUAGGGAAUCUUCGGGAAUGGAAGGAAGUCUGACCGAGCAACGCCGCGUGAGUGAAGAAGGUUGUCGGGUCGUAAAGCUCUGUUAUUAGAGAAGCGGUACCUAACCAGAAAGGGACGGCUAACUACGUGCCAGCAGCCGCGGUAAUAC
rnacentral:rRNA from 1 species